GGAUUCGGAAUUCGGGUUAUGCAACUCCAUGAGCUCGCUCUAGACACGCGUGUCACGUGCUUCGCAUCAUCAUCAUCUUCUUCUACGCGCAUCCAAUCAAACCAUAAAACAGCUGGCAUUUCCCAUUUCGCAACCACCGCCCCCUUUUCUCUUCGCAUUCUUCUUCAGCAUUCUCUUCUUCUUUUGAGAGAGAGAAUGGCGGGAGCUAUGCGUACUGGAAGUCUCGGAUCUUGCUUCGGACCAAAACACGGGGACAAUCCUCACCCCACGAUCGGGCUCCGCGUCCGCGCCUUCGGUUCCGAUCGACGGUUCUGCUGGGUUCCGUACAAGAGCAGAUGGUUGUCUACAACUGCAAACAUUCCAAAAGCUGCUCCAACCUCUGUAGAGGGUGGAAGUUCUGGUGAAACUGAUACAGUUCCUACUCCCAAAGUUAUAAUAGAUCAGGACUCAGAUCCAAAUGCAACUGUUGUGGAGAUAACUUUCGGUGACCGCCUUGGAGCUCUUCUCGAUACUAUGCAUGCGCUUAAGAACCUAGGACUGAAUGUUGUCAAGGCAAAUGUCUUCUUGGACUCAUCUGGCAAACACAAUACCUUUGCUAUCACUAGAGCGGUUACUGGCCGCAAAGUUGAUAAUCCGGAGUUGCUAGAGAAAAUACGCUUGACGAUUAUCAACAACCUACUCCAGUAUCACCCAGAAUCCAGUGCGCAAUUAGCCAUGGGAGCAACUUUUGGGGUUGAGCCACCAAAGGAAAAGGUUGAUGUGGAUAUCGCAACCCAUAUACACAUCCAUGACGAUGGUCCUGACCGAAGCUUGCUUUAUGUUGAGACUGCAGACCGCCCUGGAUUGCUGGUAGAUCUUGUUCAGAUCAUUACGGACACCAACAUCGCUGUUGUGUCGGGAGAGUUUGACACGGAGGGGCUUUUGGCGAAAGCAAAGUUCCAUGUUAGCUAUCAGGGCAAAGAUAUCAGCAAGCCUAUGCAACAGGUGAUUGUGCAUUUGACUCGGCUUGAAAUCUCACUCCGAAGAGAGUUCCUUACUGACUUGGCCCGAAAUCUUUCUGAAUUGACUCAGCCGAGUUAAGUUGAGUGACCCGAGUUUUAGAACUAGAGUGGCUAUGUGUUGAUAACAAGAGGCGCAUGCAGUCUUCAACUCGAGCCACCGAGUUUUAGAACUACGGUAGCUACAUGUUUGACGACCAGAGCGCUUGCAGGCUUACCAGAACCCGCUGUUGCAUGCCUUUCUAUGGGUUCUUUCUAAUAGCUUGCGGUAUUUCUUGCGGCGACCAACCACUGAAGAGGCGAGUUUUUAAAAGCCCUGCGUUCAGCUGGUAUGCUUGAAAGCAUUCCUGAAAAUCGGUUUUCCUCAUUCAAAGAGCAGCUGAUGUUAGUGUGGUGAAUUUUUCUCUCUCAAAUUCCUCUACCAAACAAAGCUUAGGCAAAAACGAACUUCAUUUUGUUGUUAAUGAAGUAGAACAAGAUGUUAAUUUAGCUUAAA